UAGGGAAUCUUCCACAAUGGACGCAAGUCUGAUGGAGCAACGCCGCGUGAGUGAAGAAGGUUUUCGGAUCGUAAAGCUCUGUUGUUGGUGAAGAAGGAUAGAGGUAGUAAACUGGCCUUUAUUUGACGGUAAUCAACCAGAAAGUCACGGCUAACUACGUGCCAGCAGCCGCGGUAAUACGUAGGUGGCAAGCGUUGUCCGGAUUUAUUGGGCGUAAAGCGAGCGCAAGGCGGAAGAAUAAGUCUGAUGUGA
rnacentral:rRNA from 1 species